GGCACUUUCUCAGUACUUAGUUCACACUUUCAAAUGUACAAGUUUUAGAGCAGAUGUAAGAGCAGCCUAACACGCAUUCCAUUACUCUUGACAGAUGAAAUGCAGCAUCAUUUUGGUAGGUUUAAGAAAUGGAAAUGGAACAACAACUGAGGUCUGUAUUGUGAUGGCAUCACCUUUGAUAUUGUAACUUUGGAGCAUGGCUAUAUUUGGAGAAAAUGCGAGGUCCUUCUCCCACAAGAUGAUGAUGACAACUACUGCCUCUCACUGGUGGAGACGGUGUAUUGCACUACUUAAAACAGCCUUAAAUAAUGUUUCAAAAGCAAAGCUCAUAAGUCCUUUGUAGACAUCUUGCUGUAAAACUUUAGGAUCAAUUAAAUUAAGAAAUUUAAGACUAAACAACAUGGCAGAGCAAUACAAUAUUACCACAUAAAGCUACAUAAUUUUUAAAGUUAAUUUGUAAUACUUUCAUAACAAAUUUAUGUUAGAUCCAUAAUCUCUUGGUUAAUGUCAAGUUCUCAUAACAAAGACAUUUUGAACUUUGUAUUAACAGUAUCAAGAUUUACCAAAUGACACUUUAUGACAACAGUCAUAAAUAUAUAUGAAAACUUAAAUAUUUUGUCUAAUAUAAACUUAGUCUUCAUAAAUAUGAAUCAUAAACAUACAUAAAAUCAUAAAUAUAAAUAUUUAUGACUGGUGUUGUGUCACGUUUAUGAAAGUGUCAUGUCAGGCUUAUUCACAUCCCGUCAAAUAAAGUGAUAACCAAAGGGCAAAGAAAAGCCCAACGUAAUCAGUUCUCAGCUGACAUAACUGUAAUUAUUAUGCUUAUGUGCACCGCAAGAUACAAUCUGUAAAUCUGAUGAGAUACUACACUGCAGCAGUGUAGUUUAAGUUUUUCCUAAUUUCUUUUGCUUUCUCAUUUUCUUUUGAACAGAACACCAAAACAAUAUGAAGAAAAUGGAAAACUGACUGCAGAUACAUAAAAAACAAAUAUGGAACGCAAAAGGGACAAAAUGGAAGGGCAAAAGCAACUCAUGAGCCAAGAAGCUGAAGAUGUCAAGCAUUCUUGGGAAAAUAUGAGAAGAGAGAAAGGUAGACUCAAAUAUUUCAAGAAAAAAGUGAGGCCUGACAUGGAAAGAGUAAUUUUUGAACCAGAUGAAAUCAGAGAAAUGUUGCAUAUGAUUAGAGAAGACACAAAACUUUGCAAGAAACACUUGUUUGAAGAAAAGACCCAAAUGAAAUGGGUGAGUUUUCAGGCUGAGAAAAGGAGAAAAAAGCUUGACCAGAAGUUGGAGAAAAUAAUUCAAGAAGGUGAUCAGUUAGACAUUCUGAAGAAAAAAAUGGACCAGCAAAGACAAGAGACUGAAAAAAAAAGUAAAGAAAUAUUGACUUUACUUUUGAUUUCAGAAAAAAUAAAAUUUAAUUUAGAAAAAACUACUGAAGAAAUUAGAAGCACAAACGAGGAAAUGCUCAAAACCCAACAGAAGAUCAAAAAGAGCAAUGAACUCAAAUCAUACAUGGACAGGCUGACAUGCAUAAAGAACCAGAUCAACGAAUGGAAAUUGUCACAGCCUCCAGUUACUUCCGGACUUCUGAAAGAAAAACUUGAUGGCACCCAUAGAGAAGUAAGAUCAGAAAUUCUGACUGACAAAGCAAAAAAAUCAGCUGCAGAAAAAAAUCCUUUGGAGAACAUUCGAACAUCAGAAGGUUAUGUAAUUGAAGAAAAGACAGAAAACCAUGAGAAAUUUUCAAAACAUAUUGGUCAGAGAGAAUCAUUUUCACAAGAAAUACCGGCAUUGGAAAAGCAGAUAUAUAUGCUAAAUGAGCAAGAGGAAGUCUUAAAGGUGCAAAUCAAAACAAAUAUUAGAAAAUUGCAAGAUAAAGCUCUAAAAAUGAGAAGUAUUGUCACAGAAUUAGAUGAACUACAGUGUCAGAAGGAAGACGCUGAAGUUAUAAUCAGGGAAAUGGGGACUGUAGAAAGUAAACUGCUGCAAGACGUACAACUGAGGGAUCAUCUGAUGAAGAGAACAAAUGUUUUUAAGAAACAAAUAAUGCAGACUGACUUGAAAGAUCAGACAAAAACUACUAAUGUUGAGCAAAAGCUUGACAAAGUGGAAAAAUGGAAGGAUCCCCAGGCACUUGCUAAAGAGACACAAGUAUGUUCUGAUGGAAAGUAUCUUCAACUUACAGAUUUACAAAGACUCUGGGCUAGGAUAUAUCAAACUCAGCAAGUCUUGAAAUUGAUCAAACCAGAAAUUGGGUGCCAAUAUGGAACAGGUAAUGAGACCAAAGACCUUAUUGAUAAUGAAAUCAAGGGACUACUGCAGGAUCUCAGACAGUUUCAGAAGCUUUUGGAAAUGGAAGUGGGGCAGAAGAGACUGAAUCUCAAUGUAGAUACAUGCAGUCAGAAAAGUACAAUGACGAAAAAGAGAAGAGAACUGGAUCUUAAAUUGGAGAAUAUCUUACGAGAGAGGGAUGAAUUAGAAAUGCUAAAAACACAAAUACAAAGAAAAUCUGAAGGGAAUCAGCGGCAGUUGGAAAAGAUUCGAAAAUGUCAAAAUGACAUUGAAAAAAUAGCUGGUAAGGCCAAAGAGAGAAGCAAAGUAAUAAUGUGUAAUAUGAAGAAGAGUGAUGCUAAAGUAAGAAUGAUUGAAGAUUUAAACAAGAAGAUUGAAGCUUCAAAACAACGCUGGAACGAAAUCUACCUUUUAACCUCUCAGCAUAAAGCUUUAACUGAAAAACUAAAGACUGAACUUGGACAUGAAAACGAAAGAGAAUCUCUAUUUGAAAGAGAAAACAGAAAAAGAUCUGAGAAAUUGGCAAGGGACAAACCAUUCACAAGUACAAAAGCAACACAAGCUGAAGAAACAUCCGAAGAUUUCUUAGUGCUCACACCACAUCAAGAAAGACUGAUUGAGAAAAUAAAGCUGAUAAUGAAUCAAUUUAAUUAUAGGAAAUGUAAAAGAGAGGAGCAAAACCUAGAACUAAGUGAAACAGUGAUACAAGACAUAUUAAGAAAAGUAAGUGAGAUGUUGGCACAAGAAACUGGAACUGAGGGACAGAAUGGAAAACUGUCACAAAUGAAAAUUGAACAUAAUAAAAAGGCUUUGUUAAGUGAAACAAAUGAAAGACAAAAACAGCAUAUGACUGAAGGGCAGGACAGCAUUAAAUGGACAAGAGAAAUAGCAGAAAUAGAGGUGCUGAAUACCGAGCUGGAAAUCAAAAGAAAAGAAAAUAAUGCCAUUUUUAAAAAAAUGGUGAGAGAAGGGGAAAAGAAUGAAAGAAUGAUGAAUGAAAUAAAAGAAGCAAAGAUAUCAUUUAAGAGGGAGGUACAAAGAAAGAGAAGAGAACUAGACCAAAGACUGGAGAAAAUCAGAAGAGAGCAGGAUGAAUUAGAGAUGUUAAAAUUAAAACUGAAACAACCAAGGGCAGCAAUGUUCCAUGACAACCAAAAUACACAAGACCAGAGGACAGUUGUCUGCGUUUCGAGUGAAAAUGAACCAAAGGAUUUGGAAAAGAAUGGGUGGAAAAUCACAAACACAAAAUAUGAAAUGUUACACAAAUUUCCAGGACUUAUAAGUACCAUCAACGAUAUUCGAGACCUCGGAGUAAAGAUCUAUGGCUAUUUAGAAACAGUUAAAAGUGAAAUAUGUCAAUUUCUCAAGCAACAAAAUGUUGGUUUAGACAAAAAGAGAAAUGAAGUCAAAGCAUUAACAGUUGAGAACAACUCAGUAAAAGAAAACAUAACCAGAAUCAAAUCCUUGAUAGGAAUGGAUAAAAUGACCAAACAAGCUACAAGGGAUGUGGAUGAAACAUGGAAACAAAGGAAGGUUACGCAUAAGCAGGAGUUAAGGAUCGCAUCGUUGACAACUAAACAAACAGCACAAAAGCGAAAAGCAUUAAUAACUGAAAUGAUGUCUGACGAAACAAGAAAAAAGAAACUGAAAAAAAGAAAGGAUGCUAAAGACCCAUUGGGGGAAAUCAAUAAAAAGAAAACGACUGACAAUCUGGAAAAACAUGUGAAAACAAACAUGGAAACUCUUCAAGUACUGAUGAAAAAGAUAACUUUGAAGAACAGAAAAAAAAGAACAGAGUUACAUAAAAUUAAAGCAACUCAGGAAUCUCUUUCAAACAUGUGUAUAAAAUUAGAAGACAAUAGCGUGAAAAUGGUGAAACUGAUAGACAUUAUAAAAAAUAUAAAAGAAAGAAUAUUACGACAUGAAAAUCAACUCACUGCAACAAGAAAAAACAAGGUGGAAUUACCAAAGACAGAAAUAAACCAGAAAUCAAAAGAAGCUAACAGCUCAUUGGCAGAGACCUACAAAGAGAAAAUCAAGCAGGAUAUUGAGACACAACGCGCAAAUCUGCAACAAGAAAAACAAGAUAUUCAAGAAGAAAGAGAGAGAAUAAACAUCACAAAGGCUGAACUAGACCAGAAGGCAGAAGAAGCCAGCAGUUGCUUGGCAGAGAUCGACAAAGAGAAACUCAAACUUAGACAUUUGUCGGUUUCAGUCCAAAGAAAUCAUGAAAGACUCCAUGACAUCAUGAACACGACUGCCCUAAAACGACAAGGCAGAGAACGGAAAGAUCACCUGUUCCAAACGCAAACACAGGAACUACAAUCUAAAAGACUUCUACUACAGAAAGAAAAGGAAGAGAUGCAACGUUUGAUGACAACUGUUAGUCAGAUGAGAGAGUGGAUUAAAGCUGCAAUGAUCACCACCCAAAAGGAAAAGCAACAAGUGGAUUAUAUGAGGACGCACAAGCCAGAAGAAGAAAUGCUUUCAAUACAGAAUAUAGAACUUGAGAGAGAGAGGCCUGGGUUGACACCAAGUGGCUUGGAUAAAAGUCAAAUAACAGAACGUCACCAAGGACAGAUCCAAUACAUAAAAGAGAAACUAAGUGAAAACAUUCAAGUGAAAAUGGCCCGGAUACAACAAAGGAUUGCAGGUGUAGAAAACCUCUCUGUUGGUUUGGGACAGAAGCUUCUUUGUCUUACUGAACAGAAGGAAAAUGUGGCUGGUUAUAAAGAGGUAUUUGAAAGAGAAAAGGGAAUUCUCAGUGGUCUCCUUUGUGAUACACUAAAACAAAGAGAAGAUAUGGACAACCGUUGGAAGCAAACAAUCAACUGGGAAAAAGAAAAAGUUACUUCUCUUGAAGCAACCCUGAAAAAAGAAAAGCAGGAUCUGGAAGUAGAGAAACAAAAGAUGUUGAAAGACAAACUGGUCCUAGAGCUGAUUAGGAAUGGCAUCCAGAAACAAAGUGAAAUAUUACAGCAAGACAAGCAAGACAUUCAACAACAUAAGCAAGAGUUGGAAAGCACAAUGGUGGAACUGCACAAGAAGACAGAAGAAACCAAGAAUCUCUUUGAUGGAGUCAACAAAGAGAAAUCUAAGCUCAAAGGUCUUAACCUCAGUCUGAAAACACAAGGCGAUCAACUGAAGGCUCUCAUGAAAGCAAUCAGUUCAAAACCGCAAGAACAAGAAGAAAAAGGCCCAGAAAUUCUCACACAAACACAAAAUCUGGAACUCUGUCGGAAGAAAUUACAGGAGAAAAGACAAGAGCUGGAGGCUUGGAUGAAGAAUGCUAACAGCAUGAAGGAAAAGGUUAAAGAUUCCAGGAGCAGUGUCCAUAAAGACAUAGAACAAAUCAUUUCCAUGAAGAAGAACAUUGGAAAAGACAGAGAGAAACUGUCAAGUGAGAAGGAGCGCCUGGAAAGAGAAUUGUCAGAGUGCAAAAUGAGACAAGAUGAACUCUUGGAUGUAAUGAAGCCAACAGCAAACCUAAGACUAAGACUUGAAGGAGUACAGGACAAAGCGUGUGACUUGACCAAUGUUAAAAUGAGAAGAUUACACAAAGGUCAUAAAGACACACAGUUAUUAUGUAUUUCAGUGGAGAAAAGUCUUUCGUCUAUUGGUGACCAGAUGAAAACACUAACUCCUUACAAAGAGGUAGUUGAAAGAGAAAAGGUCAAUCUAACAUCCAUCAUUUCUUCCUUGAGGAAUCAGAGAGAAGUGAUGGGACAUCAAUGGAAACAAAUGGUGGACAGGGAUAUAAAAGAUCUAAACAAAACGAAGGAAGAACUGAAACGGGAAACACACAAUCUGGAAAGAGCGGCUGACAAAGUAGACAAAGAAAAAGAGGCCUUGGAAGUGUUGAUGUCCAAUAUCCAGACAGAGCGUGUAAUACUGCAACAAGAAAAACAAGAUAUUCAAGAAGAAAGAGAGAGAAUAAACAUCACAAAGGCUGAACUAGACCAGAAGGCAGAAGAAGCCAGCAGUUGCUUGGCAGAGAUCGACAAAGAGAAACUCAAACUUAGACAUUUGUCGGUUUCAGUCCAAAGAAAUCAUGAAAGACUCCAUGACAUCAUGAACACGACUGCCCUAAAACGACAAGGCAGAGAACGGAAAGAUCACCUGUUCCAAACGCAAGCACAGGAACUACAAUCUAAAAGACUUCUACUACAGAAAGAAAAGGAAGAGAUGCAACGUUUGAUGACAACUGUUAGUCAGAUGAGAGACUGGAUUAAAGCUGCAAUGAUCACCACCCAAAAGGAAAAGCAACAAGUGGAUUAUAUGAGGACGCACAAGCCAGAAGAAGAAAUGCUUUCAAUACAGAAUAUAGAACUUGAGAGAGAGAGGCCUGGGUUGACACCAAGUGGCUUGGAUAAAAGUCAAAUAACAGAACGUCACCAAGGACAGAUCCAAUACAUAAAAGAGAAACUAAGUGAAAACAUUCAAGUGAAAAUGGCCCGGAUACAACAAAGGAUUGCAGGUGUAGAAAACCUCUCUGUUGGUUUGGGACAGAAGCUUCUUUGUCUUACUGAACAGAAGGAAAAUGUGGCUGGUUAUAAAGAGGUAUUUGAAAGAGAAAAGGGAAUUCUCAAUGGUCUCCUUUGUGAUACACUAAAACAAAGAGAAGAUAUGGACAACCGUUGGAAGCAAACAAUCAACUGGGAAAAAGAAAAAGUUACUUCUCUUGAAGCAACCCUGAAAAAGAAAAAAGCAGGAUCUGGAAGUAGAGAAACAAAAGAUGUUGAAAGACAAACUGGUCCUAGAGCUGAUUAGGAAUGGCAUCCAGAAACAAAGUGAAAUAUUACAGCAAGACAAGCAAGACAUUCAACAACAUAAGCAAGAGUUGGAAAGCACAAUGGUGGAACUGCACAAGAAGACAGAAGAAACCAAGAAUCUCUUUGAUGGAGUCAACAAAGAGAAAUCUAAGCUCAAAGGUCUUAACCUCAGUCUGAAAACACAAGGCGAUCAACUGAAGGCUCUCAUGAAAGCAAUCAGUUCAAAACCGCAAGAACAAGAAGAAAAAGAAAUUCUCACACAAACACAAAAUCUGGAACUCUGUCGGAAGAAAUUACAGGAGAAAAGACAAGAGCUGGAGGCUUGGAUGAAGAAUGCUAACAGCAUGAAGGAAAAGGUUAAAGAUUCCAGGAGCAGUGUCCAUAAAGACAUAGAACAAAUCAUUUCCAUGAAGAAGAACAUUGGAAAAGACAGAGAGAAACUGUCAAGUGAGAAGGAGCGCCUGGAAAGAGAAUUGUCAGAGUGCAAAAUGAGACAAGAUGAACUCUUGGAUGUAAUGAAGCCAACAGCAAACCUAAGACUAAGACUUGAAGGAGUAAGGACAAAGCGUGUGACUUGACCAAUGUUAAAAUGAGAAGAUUACACAAAGGUCAUAAAGACACACAGUUAUUAUGUAUUUCAGUGGAGAAAAGUUCCGUCUAUUGGUGACCAGAUGAAAACACUAACUCCUUACAAAGAGGUAGUUGAAAGAGAAAAGGUCAAUCUAACAUCCAUCAUUUCUUCCUUGAGGAAUCAGAGAGAAGUGAUGGGACAUCAAUGGAAACAAAUGGUGGACAGGGAUAUAAAAGAUCUAAACAAAACGAAGGAAGAACUGAAACGGAAACACACAAUCUGGAAAGAGCGGCUGACAAAGUAGACAAAGAAAAAGAGGCCUUGGAAGUGUUGAUGUCCAAUAUCCAGACAGAGCGUGUAAUACUGCAACAAGAAAAACAAGAUAUUCAAGAAGAAAGAGAGAGAAUAAACAUCACAAAGGCUGAACUAGACCAGAAGGCAGAAGAAGCCAGCAGUUGCUUGGCAGAGAUCGACAAAGAGAAACUCAAACUUAGACAUUUGUCGGUUUCAGUCCAAAGAAAUCAUGAAAGACUCCAUGACAUCAUGAACACGACUGCCCUAAAACGACAAGGCAGAGAACGGAAAGAUCACCUGUUCCAAACGCAAGCACAGGAACUACAAUCUAAAAGACUUCUACUACAGAAAGAAAAGGAAGAGAUGCAACGUUUGAUGACAACUGUUAGUCAGAUGAGAGAGUGGAUUAAAGCUGCAAUGAUCACCACCCAAAAGGAAAAGCAACAAGUGGAUUAUAUGAGGACGCACAAGCCAGAAGAAGAAAUGCUUUCAAUACAGAAUAUAGAACUUGAGAGAGAGAGGCCUGGGUUGACACCAAGUGGCUUGGAUAAAAGUCAAAUAACAGAACGUCACCAAGGACAGAUCCAAUACAUAAAAGAGAAACUAAGUGAAAACAUUCAAGUGAAAAUGGCCCGGAUACAACAAAGGAUUGCAGGUGUAGAAAACCUCUCUGUUGGUUUGGCACAGAAGCUUCUUUGUCUUACUGAACAGAAGGAAAAUGUGGCUGGUUAUAAAGAGGUAUUUGAAAGAGAAAAGGGAAUUCUCCGUGGUCUCCUUUGUGAUACACUAAAACAAAGAGAAGAUAUGGACAACCGUUGGAAGCAAACAAUCAACUGGGAAAAAGAAAAAGUUACUUCUCUUGAAGCAACCCUGAAAAAAGAAAAGCAGGAUCUGGAAGUAGAGAAACAAAAGAUGUUGAAAGACAAACUGGUCCUAGAGCUGAUUAGGAAUGGCAUCCAGAAACAAAGUGAAAUAUUACAGCAAGACAAGCAAGACAUUCAACAACAUAAGCAAGAGUUGGAAAGCACAAUGGUGGAACUGCACAAGAAGACAGAAGAAACCAAGAAUCUCUUUGAUGGAGUCAACAAAGAGAAAUCUAAGCUCAAAGGUCUUAACCUCAGUCUGAAAACACAAGGCGAUCAACUGAAGGCUCUCAUGAAAGCAAUCAGUUCAAAACCGCAAGAACAAGAAGAAAAAGGCCCAGAAAUUCUCACACAAACACAAAAUCUGGAACUCUGUCGGAAGAAAUUACAGGAGAAAAGACAAGAGCUGGAGGCUUGGAUGAAGAAUGCUAACAGCAUGAAGGAAAAGGUUAAAGAUUCCAGGAGCAGUGUCCAUAAAGACAUAGAACAAAUCAUUUCCAUGAAGAAGAACAUUGGAAAAGACAGAGAGAAACUGUCAAGUGAGAAGGAGCGCCUGGAAAGAGAAUUGUCAGAGUGCAAAAUGAGACAAGAUGAACUCUUGGAUGUAAUGAAGCCAACAGCAAACCUAAGACUAAGACUUGAAGGAGUAAAGGACAAAGCGUGUGACUUGACCAAUGUUAAAAUGAGAAGAUUACACAAAGGUCAUAAAGACACACAGUUAUUAUGUAUUUCAGUGGAGAAAAGUCUUCGUCUAUUGGUGACCAGAUGAAAACACUAACUCCUUACAAAGAGGUAGUUGAAAGAGAAAAGGUCAAUCUAACAUCCAUCAUUUCUUCCUUGAGGAAUCAGAGAGAAGUGAUGGGACAUCAAUGGAAACAAAUGGUGGACAGGGAUAUAAAAGAUCUAAACAAAACGAAGGAAGAACUGAAACGGGAAACACACAAUCUGGAAAGAGCGGCUGACAAAGUAGACAAAGAAAAAGAGGCCUUGGAAGUGUUGAUGUCCAAUAUCCAGACAGAGCGUGUAAUACUGCAACAAGAAAAACAAGAUAUUCAAGAAGAAAGUGAGAAUAAACAUCACAAAGGCUGAACUAGACCAGAAGGCAGAAGAAGCCAGCAGUUGCUUGGCAGAGAUCGACAAAGAGAAACUCAAACUUAGACAUUUGUGGUUUCAGUCCAAAGAAAUCAUGAAAGACUCCAUGACAUCAUGAACACGACUGCCCUAAAACGACAAGGCAGAGAACGGAAAGAUCACCUGUUCCAAACGCAAGCACAGGAACUACAAUCUAAAAGACUUCUACUACAGAAAGAAAAGGAAGAGAUGCAACGUUUGAUGACAACUGUUAGUCAGAUGAGAGAGUGGAUUAAAGCUGCAAUGAUCACCACCCAAAAGGAAAAGCAACAAGUGGAUUAUAUGAGGACGCACAAGCCAGAAGAAGAAAUGCUUUCAAUACAGAAUAUAGAACUUGAGAGAGAGAGGCCUGGGUUGACACCAAGUGGCUUGGAUAAAAGUCAAAUAACAGAACGUCACCAAGGACAGAUCCAAUACAUAAAAGAGAAACUAAGUGAAAACAUUCAAGUGAAAAUGGCCCGGAUACAACAAAGGAUUGCAGGUGUAGAAAACCUCUCUGUUGGUUUGGGACAGAAGCUUCUUUGUCUUACUGAACAGAAGGAAAAUGUGGCUGGUUAUAAAGAGGUAUUUGAAAGAGAAAAGGGAAUUCUCAGUGGUCUCCUUUGUGAUACACUAAAACAAAGAGAAGAUAUGGACAACCGUUGGAAGCAAACAAUCAACUGGGAAAAAGAAAAAGUUACUUCUCUUGAAGCAACCCUGAAAAAAGAAAAGCAGGAUCUGGAAGUAGAGAAACAAAAGAUGUUGAAAGACAAACUGGUCCUAGAGCUGAUUAGGAAUGGCAUCCAGAAACAAAGUGAAAUAUUACAGCAAGACAAGCAAGACAUUCAACAACAUAAGCAAGAGUUGGAAAGCACAAUGGUGGAACUGCACAAGAAGACAGAAGAAACCAAGAAUCUCUUUGAUGGAGUCAACAAAGAGAAAUCUAAGCUCAAAGGUCUUAACCUCAGUCUGAAAACACAAGGCGAUCAACUGAAGGCUCUCAUGAAAGCAAUCAGUUCAAAACCGCAAGAACAAGAAGAAAAAGGCCCAGAAAUUCUCACACAAACACAAAAUCUGGAACUCUGUAGGAAGAAAUUACAGGAGAAAAGACAAGAGCUGGAGGCUUGGAUGAAGAAUGCUAACAGCAUGAAGGAAAAGGUUAAAGAUUCCAGGAGCAGUGUCCAUAAAGACAUAGAACAAAUCAUUUCCAUGAAGAAGAACAUUGGAAAAGACAGAGAGAAACUGUCAAGUGAGAAGGAGCGCCUGGAAAGAGAAUUGUCAGAGUGCAAAAUGAGACAAGAUGAACUCUUGGAUGUAAUGAAGCCAACAGCAAACCUAAGACUAAGACUUGAAGGAGUAAAGGACAAAGCGUGUGACUUGACCAAUGUUAAAAUGAGAAGAUUACACAAAGGUCAUAAAGACACACAGUUAUUAUGUAUUUCAGUGGAGAAAAGUCUUUCGUCUAUUGGUGACCAGAUGAAAACACUAACUCCUUACAAAGAGGUAGUUGAAAGAGAAAAGGUCAAUCUAACAUCCAUCAUUUCUUCCUUGAGGAAUCAGAGAGAAGUGAUGGGACAUCAAUGGAAACAAAUGGUGGACAGGGAUAUAAAAGAUCUAAACAAAACGAAGGAAGAACUGAAACGGGAAACACACAAUCUGGAAAGAGCGGCUGACAAAGUAGACAAAGAAAAAGAGGCCUUGGAAGUGUUGAUGUCCAAUAUCCAGACAGAGCGUGUAAUACUGCAACAAGAAAAACAAGAUAUUCAAGAAGAAAGAGAGAGAAUAAACAUCACAAAGGCUGAACUAGACCAGAAGGCAGAAGAAGCCAGCAGUUGCUUGGCAGAGAUCGACAAAGAGAAACUCAAACUUAGACAUUUGUCGGUUUCAGUCCAAAGAAAUCAUGAAAGACUCCAUGACAUCAUGAACACGACUGCCCUAAAACAAGGCAGAGAACGGAAAGAUCACCUGUUCCAAACGCAAGCACAGGAACUACAAUCUAAAAGACUUCUACUACAGAAAGAAAUGGAAGAGAUGCAACGUUUGAUGACAACUGUUAGUCAGAUGAGAGACUGGAUUAAAGCUGCAAUGAUCACCACCCAAAAGGAAAAGCAACAAGUGGAUUAUAUGAGGACGCACAAGCCAGAAGAAGAAAUGCUUUCAAUACAGAAUAUAGAACUUGAGAGUGAGGCCGGGGUGGACACCAAGUGGCUUGGAUAAAAGUCAAAUAACAGAACGUCACCAAGGACAGAUCCAAUACAUAAAAGAGAAACUAAGUGAAAACAUUCAAGUGAAAAUGGCCCGGAUACAACAAAGGAUUGCAGGUGUAGAAAACCUCUCUGUUGGUUUGGCACAGAAGCUUCUUUGUCUUACUGAACAGAAGGAAAAUGUGGCUGGUUAUAAAGAGGUAUUUGAAAGAGAAAAGGGAAUUCUCCGUGGUCUCCUUUGUGAUACACUAAAACAAAGAGAAGAUAUGGACAACCGUUGGAAGCAAACAAUCAACUGGGAAAAAGAAAAAGUUACUUCUCUUGAAGCAACCCUGAAAAAAGAAAAGCAGGAUCUGGAAGUAGAGAAACAAAAGAUGUUGAAAGACAAACUGGUCCUAGAGCUGAUUAGGAAUGGCAUCCAGAAACAAAGUGAAAUAUUACAGCAAGACAAGCAAGACAUUCAACAACAUAAGCAAGAGUUGGAAAGCACAAUGGUGGAACUGCACAAGAAGACAGAAGAAACCAAGAAUCUCUUUGAUGGAGUCAACAAAGAGAAAUCUAAGCUCAAAGGUCUUAACCUCAGUCUGAAAACACAAAGGCGAUCAACUGAAGGCUCUCAUGAAAGCAAUCAGUUCAAAACCGCAAGAACAAGAAGAAAAAGGCCCAGAAAUUCUCACACAAACACAAAAUCUGGAACUCUGUCGGAAGAAAUUACAGGAGAAAAGACAAGAGCUGGAGGCUUGGAUGAAGAAUGCUAACAGCAUGAAGGAAAAGGUUAAAGAUUCCAGGAGCAGUGUCCAUAAAGACAUAGAACAAAUCAUUUCCAUGAAGAAGAACAUUGGAAAAGACAGAGAGAAACUGUCAAGUGAGAAGGAGCGCCUGGAAAGAGAAUUGUCAGAGUGCAAAAUGAGACAAGAUGAACUCUUGGAUGUAAUGAAGCCAACAGCAAACCUAAGACUAAGACUUGAAGGAGUAAAGGACAAAGCGUGUGACUUGACCAAUGUUAAAAUGAGAAGAUUACACAAAGGUCAUAAAGACACACAGUUAUUAUGUAUUUCAGUGGAGAAAAGUCUUUCGUCUAUUGGUGACCAGAUGAAAACACUAACUCCUUACAAAGAGGUAGUUGAAAGAGAAAAGGUCAAUCUAACAUCCAUCAUUUCUUCCUUGAGGAAUCAGAGAGAAGUGAUGGGACAUCAAUGGAAACAAAUGGUGGACAGGGAUAUAAAAGAUCUAAACAAAACGAAGGAAGAACUGAAAGCGGAAACACACAAUCUGGAAAGAGCGGCUGACAAAGUAGACAAAGAAAAAGAGGCCUUGGAAGUGUUGAUGUCCAAUAUCCAGACAGAGCGUGUAAUACUGCAACAAGAAAAACAAGAUAUUCAAGAAGAAAGAGAGAGAAUAAACAUCACAAAGGCUGAACUAGACCAGAAGGCAGAAGAAGCCAGCAGUUGCUUGGCAGAGAUCGACAAAGAGAAACUCAAACUUAGACAUUUGUCGGUUUCAGUCCAAAGAAAUCAUGAAAGACUCCAUGACAUCAUGAACACGACUGCCCUAAAAGCGACAAGGCAGAGAACGGAAAGAUCACCUGUUCCAAACGCAAGCACAGGAACUACAAUCUAAAAGACUUCUACUACAGAAAGAAAAGGAAGAGAUGCAACGUUUGAUGACAACUGUUAGUCAGAUGAGAGACUGGAUUAAAGCUGCAAUGAUCACCACCCAAAAGGAAAAGCAACAAGUGGAUUAUAUGAGGACGCACAAGCCAGAAGAAGAAAUGCUUUCAAUACAGAAUAUAGAACUUGAGAGAGAGAGGCCUGGGUUGACACCAAGUGGCUUGGAUAAAAGUCAAAUAACAGAACGUCACCAAGGACAGAUCCAAUACAUAAAAGAGAAACUAAGUGAAAACAUUCAAGUGAAAAUGGCCCGGAUACAACAAAGGAUUGCAGGUGUAGAAAACCUCUCUGUUGGUUUGGGACAGAAGCUUCUUUGUCUUACUGAACAGAAGGAAAAUGUGGCUGGUUAUAAAGAGGUAUUUGAAAGAGAAAAGGGAAUUCUCAAUGGUCUCCUUUGUGAUACACUAAAACAAAGAGAAGAUAUGGACAACCGUUGGAAGCAAACAAUCAACUGGGAAAAAGAAAAGUUACUUCUCUUGAAGCAACCCUGA